UUAGGUGACGUCAUUCACCUGCGCUUGCAUUUAGGCUCAACGUGUGCGUCUUCGGGAACGCUCGUCUGUUUGCUUUAUGCUGCACGCUGUUGUUAUCGUUUCCAGCGCGUCUUUUUUUGGGAACUCUCGCCGGUCUGCUUAAUGCUGCACGCUGCUGUAACCGCUAUUGGCGUGUUUGUUGCGAACUCCUGCCUUAUGGUUUGCUGCACGCGGCUGUGACCGGUUUAAACGGAUGACCACUUUCUAUUUGCGUUUCCUACCAACGUGGUUUUGGCUUAUUCGGAUGGCUGUUGUGCGGGCUUCUGUGGACUUCAGUUCAUUUGUUGGUGCGUGAAUGACGACUGCAUUAAACUAUUGAGUGGGGGUGUCCUUUUGAGUGCCUGGCCCCGCAGUUACGGAGAACUACAGUUUGUGUAGUGUCAUCGCUGUUUUGUUAUAGGCCAGUGUGAUACUACUGACACAAUGUUGUGACACUGCUGUGCUCCAUCUCAUCCUGC